AAUACAUCAUGUAUAUAAUGAACAGACUAGGUCUAUACUGCUCCUACAUGGUGUAACAAUACAUCAUGUAGAUGUAUAUAAUGAACAGACUAGGUCUAUACUGCUCCUACAUGGUGUAACAAUACAUCAUGUAGAUGUAUAUAAUGAACAGACUAGGUCUAUACUGCUCCUACAUGGUGUAACAAUACAUCAUGUAGAUGUAUAUAAUGAACAGACUAGGUCUAUACUGCUCCUACAUGGUGUAACAAUACAUCAUGUAGAUGUAUAUAAUGAACAGACUAGGUCUAUACUGCUCCUACAUGGUGUAACAAUACAUCAUGUAGAUGUAUAUAAUGAACAGACUAGGUCUAUACUGCUCCUACAUGGUGUAACAUCAUGUAGAUGUAUAUAAUGAACAGACUAGGUCUAUACUGCUCCUACAUGGUGUAACAAUACAUCAUGUAGAUGUAUAUAAUGAACAGACUAGGUCUAUACUGCUCCUACAUGGUGUAACAAUACAUCAUGUAGAUGUAUAUAAUGAACAGACUAGGUCUAUACUGCUCCUACAUGGUGUAACAAUACAUCAUGUAGAUGUAUAUAAUGAACAGACUAGGUCUAUACUGCUCCUACAUGGUGUAACAAUACAUCAUGUAGAUGUAUAUAAUGAACAGACUAGGUCUAUACUGCUCCUACAUGGUGUAACAAUACAUCAUGUAUAUAAUGAACAG